rnacentral:rRNA from 1 species
ACUAAGUGAGCUACUUUAAAGCAGCUAUUAGAGCUAACCCGUCUCUGUCGCAAAAGAGUGGGGUGACUUUAAAGUAGAGGUGAUAGACCUACCGAACUUAGAGAUAGCUGGUUUUUUAAGAAAAGAAUUUUAGUUCAGCCCCAAGCCUUUCGUUAAGCAAAAAACCUUCUUAGGCCUGGGAGUCAUUCAUAUAGGGCACAGCCUAUUUGAAACAGGAUACAACCUAGAAUAUAGGGUAAAACAAUGUGAUUUUUCUAUAAGUGGGCUUGAAAGCAGCCACCUUUCAAAAAGCGUUGUAGCUUAUUGAUACUGAUUAUUUAAUAACCUCAAAAAUGUUUAACCCACACACACUAUUAAACUAUCCCAUAAAUUUAUGGGAGCUAUCAUGCUAGAACAAGUAACAAGAAAAAGAUUUUUCUCCAAAAUACAAGCUUUAGCCGCUACAGACAAACUACCGGCAAUUAACGCCUUUUAACUAAUUUAGUAACUCUA